rnacentral:piRNA from 1 species
UUGAUUUACCUACUGUCAUAGC